rnacentral:rRNA from 1 species
CCUACGGGUGGCAGCAGUGAGGAAUAUUGGUCAAUGGCCGGAAGGCUGAACCAGCCAAGUCGCGUGAGGGAAUAAGGCCCUAUGGGUCGUAAACCUCUUUUGUCAGGGAGCAAAGGCGUCCACGUGUCGACGAAAGGAGAGUCCCUGAAGAAAAAGCAUCGGCUACCUCCGUGCCAGCAGCCGCGGUAUUACGGGGGAGGCGAGCGUUAGCCGGUUUUAUUGGGUUUAAAGGGUGCGUAGGCGGAGUGUCAAGUCAGCGGUAAAAUUUCGGGGCUCAACCCCGUCGUGCCGUUGAACCUGACGGCCUCGAGUGAGUGAGAAGUAAGCGGAAUGCGUGGUGUAGCGGUGAAAUGCAUAGAUAUCACGCAGAACGCCGAUUGCGAAGGCAGCUUACCGGCGCUAAACUGACGCUGAGGCACGAAAGUGCGGGUAUCGAACAGGAUUAGAUACCCGAGUAGUC